CCGUAGCCCAAGAGAUCGGGAUAACACCUGGAAACAGAAUGCUAAUACCGGAUAACAACAGAUGAUGCCUAUCAACUGUUUAAAAGAUGGUUCUGCUAUCACUCUUGGAUGGACCUGCGGUGCAUUAGCUAGUUGGUAGGGUAACGGCCUACCAAGGCGAUGAUGCAUAGCCGAGUUGAGAGACUGAUCGGCCACAUUGGGACUGAGACACGGCCCAAACUCCUACGGGAGGCAGCAGC
rnacentral:rRNA from 1 species